CCUACGGGAGGCAGCAGUGAGGAAUAUUGGUCAAUGGACGAGAGUCUGAACCAGCCAAGUAGCGUGAAGGAUGACUGCCCUAUGGGUUGUAAACUUCUUUUAUAUGGGAAUAAAAUGUUCCACGUGUGGGAUUUUGUAUGUACCAUAUGAAUAAGUAUCGGCUAACUCCGUGCCAGCAGCCGCGGUAAUACGGAGGGUCCGAGCGUUAUCCGGAUUUAUUGGGUUUAAAGGGAGCGUAGGUGGAUUGUUAAGUCAGUUGUGAAAGUUUGCGGCUCAACCGUAAAAUUGCAGUUGAAACUGGCAGUCUUGAGUACAGUAGAGGUGGACGGAAUUCGUGGUGUAGCGGUGAAAUGCUUAGAUAUCACGAAGAACUCCGAUUGCGAAGGCAGUUCACUGGACUGCAACUGACACUGAGGCUCGAAAGUGUGGGUAUCAAACAGGAUUAGAUACCCGGGUAGUC
rnacentral:rRNA from 1 species